rnacentral:rRNA from 1 species
CGAUGGAUACUCGACAUCAGCGAUAAACUGUUGGUGUCUGAGCGAAAGCAUUAAGUAUCCCACCUGGGAAGUACGAUCGCAAGAUUGAAACUCAAAGGAAUUGGCGGGGGUCCGCACAAGCGAUGGAGCAUGUGGUUUAAUUCGAUGAUACGCGAGGAACCUUACCUGGGCUAGAAUGCUGGGAGACCGUGGGUGAAAGCUCACUUUGUAGCAAUACACUGCCAGUAAGGUGCUGCAUGGCUGUCGUCAGCUCGUGCCGUGAGGUGUUGGGUUAAGUCCCGCAACGAGCGCAACCCCCAUCACUAGUUGCCAUCAGGUAACGCUGGGAACUCUAGUGAAACUGCCGUCGUAAGACGUGAGGAAGGAGGGGAUGAUGUCAAGUCAUCAUGGCCUUUAUGCCCAGGGCUACACACGUGCUACAAUGGGGCGUACAAAGGGCUGCAACAUAGUGAUAUGAAGCUAAUCCCAAAAAACGCCUCUCAGUUCAGAUUGGAGUCUGCAACUCGACUCCAUGAAGCUGGAAUCGCUAGUAAUCGUAGAUCAGCAACGCUACGGUGAAUACGUUCCCGGACCUUGCACACACCGCCCGUCAAGCCAUGGAAGCUGGGUGUACCUAAAGUCGGUAACCGUAAGGAGCCGCCUAGGGUAAAACUAGUGACUGGGGCU